GCCACUGUGGCUCAGUUGGUAGAGCAACGCAUUCGUAAUGCGUGGGUCGGCGGUUCGAGUCCGCCCAGUGGCU
rnacentral:tRNA from 1 species